ACUGCCCAAGCUGAAGGCGCCAAUGACCCUUUAUGAGUCUGCUAAGCAAGUGGUCCCGAGCUGCCACAGUUCCGCCAGACAAGGCACUCCUUCUGAGCCCCCGGAGCUUCUGCCCAAAACCGCUUCCACUGAAAACGAGAGAGUAAGUCAGCCACUACAUUCAACAACCCAGGCACGUGACAUUCCCUGAACACAACAUUAAUUUGCAUGCAAGAAAGAACAAAACGGUGAAGAAGCCGAAUAGCAGGAAUAGAAGAAGCAGAUAAACCAUUAACAGAUUCGACCACUGACAUGUUGUCCGUAAAAAAGAUAGUCUUCUUCCCUCAGCUGUCGCCCCCACAACACCAGCGCCACCACUAUAGGAAAGAAUUCCAGGAACGUCAAGUUGUAAAUGAGCGAGCUGGCCUUCUAUUAAUCCAGCCAUGCUUCAGCACACCAGUGUCCCGUGAAAUAAGCCCCAAACCCGGUGCUUCCUGACGGGCCUGUAAAUAAUUCCAAAUCCGGCAAAGAAGCCGCUGGUUCCCGGAAAUAUACAUGCCCAUUAAAGUCCCGCAGAAAGACCUGCCACACAUCCAGAUCGACUUUCAUGAAUGCCGACACCCGAAUGGAAUGAUGCGGUGACACUACCCCUCUGGUCGCCCUAGAGAGGAACCUGUUGAACACCCGUCCAACAGGGAUCACCCAGAACUCAAAGUUGAGCUGGCCCACCAAUGACUGAAGCAACCGCAAAGUAACAUUCCUUGCUUCCCGGACCUCCGUCACCGCCUGCAAGGGUGCCAGCAACAUGUCCUCAGGCAACCGACAUUCACCCUGGACCGAAUCUAUCUCCAAGCCCAGGAAAAACAAGCAAGUAGUCGGCCCAACCAUCUUGUCACCCGCCAGCGGUAUUCCGAAGACAUUCAUGACUCAUUCCUAGUUUUCAACCCUAUGCAGAAAUAUA